AUGGCGGCAUCCUUCUUCUCCUUUGCCCGUGCCCGUGUGGUUGCUCUCUUCUUCCUGGUCGCUGCCCAUGGAUGUUGCGGCUGCGGUUAUCUGCCUGAUCUGUUCUGUUACCCACCUCCCCCACCUGCCCCCACCACCAAUGUCCCCGCCACCAACGUCCCUGCGUCCAAUAUCCCCGCCUCCAACUCCAGCUCCGACGAGGGCUGGCUCGAUGCCCGGGCCACCUGGUACGGCGCUCCCAAUGGCGCCGGCCCCUACGAUAACGGUGGUGCUUGCGGGUUCAAGAACGUCAACUGGCCGCCUUUCUCGUCGAUGACGUCGUGCGGCAACCAGCCGAUCUUCAAGGACGGCAAGGGGUGCGGCUCAUGCUACCAGAUCAGGUGCGUGGCCCAUCGUGCCUGCUCCGGCGUCCCGGAGACGGUGAUCAUCACGGACAUGAACUACUACCCGGUCUCCCGCUAUCACUUCGACCUCAGCGGCACCGCCUUCGGCGCCAUGGCCAAGUACGGCCGCCACGACGAGCUCCGCCACGCCGGCAUCAUCGAUAUGCAGUUCAAGAGGGUGCCCUGCCAGUACCCGGGGCUAACGGUGACGUUCCGGGUGCAGCACGGGUCCAACCCCAACUACCUGGCGAUCCUGGUGGAGUACGAGGACGGCGCCGGCGAUGUGUCGCAGGUGGACAUAAUGGAGUCACGGCUGCCGGACAGGGCGCCGACGGGGUACUGGACGCCGAUGAGGGAGUCGUGGGGCUCCAUCUGGCGCCUGGACAGGCUCCGCCCGCUGCAGGGGCCCUUCUCGCUGCGCGUCACCGACGAGUCCGGCAGGUCGCUCGUCGCCGACCAGGUCAUCCCGGCCUACUGGCAGCCCAAUGCCGCCUACAGAUCCUUGGUCCAGUUCGAUGAGACGUUGCCGAUGUCGCUUGUGACAUCCGCUGCCACGAGCCGUCGUCUCCUUGUUCUACCUACUAUGUAUUCGGCCGCGCUUACGUAUGUGUGGCCUUGUGUACGUUGGAUACUGGCCGUGUGA
rnacentral:rRNA from 1 species